CUGCACUAUUGGGACUUCUCUAAGAAAUUGUUCAAGUUGUUUGCGUGCACACAUCUCACACCCUAUAUACACUGAAUCGCAGCAAGAGCCACGAUGCACACAAACUCAUCUGAACCGAAGGAUGAAAGUUGCGGAAAGAACUGAUCAAACUGGAGUCUCUUAUUUGCCUAUACAUAGUACAAACUACAAACAUGGUGGGAUAAUAUAACUAGGUUCCCGACACGGGAUCACAGAUACACACUGUUCCAGAAACUAUGCGAUUUCUCAAACUAACUAGAUUACCGCACAGCAUUACAGCAAACAUGAUUACAUC